rnacentral:rRNA from 2 species
GAAUGCUGACAUAAGUAACGAUAAAGCGGGUGAAAAGCCCGCUCGCCGGAAGACCAAGGGUUCCUGUCCAACGUUAAUCGGGGCAGGGUGAGUCGACCCCUAAGGCGAGGCCGAAAGGCGUAGUCGAUGGGAAACGGGUUAAUAUUCCCGUACUUGGUGUUACUGCGAAGGGGGGACGGAGAAGGCUAUGUUGGCCGGGCGACGGUUGUCCCGGUUUAAGCGUGUAGGUGUGUGUUCCAGGUAAAUCCGGUUCACUUUAACACUGAGGCGUGACGACGAGGCACUACGGUGCUGAAGCAACAAAUGCCCUGCUUCCAGGAAAAGCCUCUAAGCAUCAGGUAACAUCAAAUCGUACCCCAAACCGACACAGGUGGUCAGGUAGAGAAUACCAAGGCGCUUGAGAGAACUCGGGUGAAGGAACUAGGCAAAAUGGUGCCGUAACUUCGGGAGAAGGCACGCUGACACGUAGGUGAAGUGAUUUACUCAUGGAGCUGAAGUCAGUCGAAGAUACCAGCUGGCUGCAACUGUUUAUUAAAAACACAGCACUGUGCAAACACGAAAGUGGACGUAUACGGUGUGACGCCUGCCCGGUGCCGGAAGGUUAAUUGAUGGGGUCAGCGCAAGCGAAGCUCCUGAUCGAAGCCCCGGUAAACGGCGGCCGUAACUAUAACGGUCCUAAGGUAGCGAAAUUCCUUGUCGGGUAAGUUCCGACCUGCACGAAUGGCGUAAUGAUGGCCAGGCUGUCUCCACCCGAGACUCAGUGAAAUUGAACUCGCUGUGAAGAUGCAGUGUACCCGCGGCAAGACGGAAAGACCCCGUGAACCUUUACUAUAGCUUGACACUGAACAUUGAGCCUUGAUGUGUAGGAUAGGUGGGAGGCUUUGAAGUGUGGACGCCAGUCUGCAUGGAGCCGACCUUGAAAUACCACCCUUUAAUGUUUGAUGUUCUAACGUGGACCCGUUACCCGGGUUGCGGACAGUGUCUGGUGGGUAGUUUGACUGGGGCGGUCUCCUCCUAAAGAGUAACGGAGGAGCACGAAGGUUGGCUAAUCCUGGUCGGACAUCAGGAGGUUAGUGCAAUGGCAUAAGCCAGCUUGACUGCGAGCGUGACGGCGCGAGCAGGUGCGAAAGCAGGUCAUAGUGAUCCGGUGGUUCUGAAUGGAAGGGCCAUCGCUCAACGGAUAAAAGGUACUCCGGGGAUAACAGGCUGAUACCGCCCAAGAGUUCAUAUCGACGGCGGUGUUUGGCACCUCGAUGUCGGCUCAUCACAUCCUGGGGCUGAAGUAGGUCCCAAGGGUAUGGCUGUUCGCCAUUUAAAGUGGUACGCGAGCUGGGUUUAGAACGUCGUGAGACAGUUCGGUCCCUAUCUGCCGUGGGCGCUGGAGAACUGAGGGGGGCUGCUCCUAGUACGAGAGGACCGGAGUGGACGCAUCACUGGUGUUCGGGUUGUCAUGCCAAUGGCACUGCCCGGUAGCUAAAUGCGGAAGAGAUAAGUGCUGAAAGCAUCUAAGCACGAAACUUGCCCCGAGAUGAGUUCUCCCUGAGACUUAAAGUCUCCUGAAG